rnacentral:lncRNA from 1 species
ACUUCGUGCUCAGAGAACAGAAUGCCAUGACCUUUAAAUGACCAUAAUUCCUGUCUCAGAACUGUAGUCAUCCCAAUUUCUGUUCUGUCACGCUGACAUCUUUUAUGAGGUUGAGUCCCUGGACAGUCUCAGGGUUCUCAUCAGAGCACCCAAGAGAUACAGGUGGGGAACAGGUCUCAGACUGGAUGCCCUGGAUGACUGGUAAAGAAGCAUCUCCUGUGGUUGCAAGGAUGGUAGAUGGAUCUUAAAAAUACUUCCUGCCUAUAAUUCCAGCUCGAGGAGAAUCUGAUAUGCUUGACCUCUGCGGGUUCCUGCAGUCACAUGCAUGUGCCCUACACAUACACAUCAUUUGGAAGAUACGCACUUUCAGUAGUUGGAUUUGAGACUUCGAUUGCAGCGGGGAGAUACUCUGUGAUUAACGUGUUUGCUGUGCACGCAUGGCGACUAGAGUCAGAAUAUCCUGACCUCAUGCAAAUGGCAGCCUGGAGUCUCUGAAAAACCCUAACCAGUUACAUAAAAUGAUGAACUCCAAAAAGUCACUGGCAGAGGUCCAAAACCCCUUCUCCAUUUACUGGUCUGUUGACAUUGCCUCUGUGGGUUCAGAGACCGUGACAUCUUCCACUGGUGCAGCACCUCUCCGUCACUCAGUCACUGAAAUAAAGACUUCCUAUUGAUUGUUUUAAGAGGAUGUCUUUCCCUGUGCUCAGAAAUGACAGUUACGUGACAAAGAUUUCAGAAACAGCUUAGUGGACAUUCCCUUCACUAUCUCUCAUUUUCAACUCAAAAAUAACAACACAUCACUCAGCUCCCCACCUCUCGUUCUCAGACACACAUGUCCUGGGAUGACAGGAUAUCCUUGCUGAUGAGAAUGAAUGUGCCACCUGCCAAGGAGAGAUGCUCGGUCUGUGUUGACGGAUCUGGCUUCUCAGCAGAGCACAGCAAAGCUGCUCUCUCUCUCUCUCUCUCUCUCUCUCUCUCUCUCUCUCUCUCUCUCUCUCUCUCUCUCUCUCUCCCCAUCUCUCCCUCUCUCCCUCCCCCCUCCUUCUUCCUCUCUGUCCUUGCUCACAGUGCCUCUGUCAUCAAAGAGAAGAGUGGCAUCUAGGAGGCUGCUCUGGGCCCAUGAACUUUAUAGUGACCCAGGAAUCCAGGGACACACCAGAAGCCACAUCCUGGAACCACCAGAGGAUACUCAACAGGAAGAAGGUCCACUGCUGACUCCCCAGCAUAACUGGGAAGAACCAUGACUCCCAAGAAAUGUGGCCAUUUCCUGUUAAGCAACACCAUCCUCUCCGAUGUGACUGAUGCUGAUGACAACCACUGUGUCUGAACCCCAUGUUUGUUGCAGAUGUAAACUCACCCCACUGUAUCUGGAGAAGUGAUUUGACAAGAGAGAAGCAAUCCCUGCUGCCCAGCCUGACGUGAUGACCUGUACUUCUUUGGCCAAGCGUGAGACGAGACCUGGAUGGUGCUGUGUGCUGUGGCUUUCCUUGCUUGUGUACUUUCAAUCUAGCCAGUGUGUGGCUUGGUUUAGAAAUUAGAUGAGCUGUUGAAAAUUCAAUUAAAAUGUUGAACUUGGGGUCAAAUUAA